GUUGUUCUUUUUUCUUUUUGAUAAUAUUCAAUGUCUUUUAAAUGGCUUCACUGUUGGAUCAGCAAACUUGCAAGGUCUUUAGAAUUUCUAACUACAAUAGGUUAAGAUGUUGAAAAAAUUUCUGACCAAUGGAUGAACAAUGAAUAUUUCUCCCCCAAUUCUGAAAGGUUUUCUUGAGCUAUAAUUACAGAGCUUGUAUAGAGUGCUGUGGAAUUCAUAUAGGUUGCAGCAAUUCCUUACACGUGGAAUGCAUAUUCUAUUCCUAAAAUUUUGGUACUAGCAUAGUUUGAAUUCUAACAUUUUCUUACCCCCUUUAAUUCUAUAAUCUUAGGUUGCUAUUUAUCCUGGAAAUGUUCUCACAUUGCAUAUGUCUAAGCCACCUCAGUUUAAGUACAAAAGUGGACAGUACAUGUUUGUGCAAUACCCUGCUUUCUCUCCCUUUGUGUGGUUGUAUUCACCAUAAUUUUCAUGGCAAAAGAAGGUACUUUGAAGAAAUUAUACAAGGAGUGGACUUUGGUUGGUGCAUUGACUGCAUCAAGGCAAAGAAGUUACUUCCAAGAUCCCAAAUGAUGAAAACAAGCAUCAUUUCUUCUGUGAGGUGGUUUUGGCUAUAGAGUCUAGAUGGGAUUUCAGUACAAGAUGGAUGAUUUACAUAAAUACUUAAAUUAUUGAGUACUGAUAUAAGCUUAGAUUAUUGGCUCGACUUCAUUGCAAUUUAUUUUUUUAUUUUUAUGUAAGCAACUAGGUGCUAUAUUGCAAGAAGUGAACUUUUUUUUCUUGAUUUAUAUAAAUCUUUUUAUUUAUAUUUUUCAUAAACAAUAUUAAAGCUCAUUUACCAAUUGAAUCA